CAGCCUCAAGACAUAUGGUAAGAUAUGCGAAAACCUCUUUUGACUGCAGAAGAAUCAAUUUAGAGAGUGAACUUACUGUGAAUUUUAAGUUAGUUCCUCUGUUGCUUGGUUGAAUGUUACAAUCAUGAUCAAAGCAAUCAUUUUAACAAUAAUCACUAUUUACUGGUUACCAGUUUGUGUGGUUUGUUCUCCUGUCAUUCAGCAGUCUCCCAAACAUCUCCUACAGACAGUGAAGGAGAAAGAAGCAAAUCUUUCUUGCAAUCACGGUGACAGCAGCUAUCCAUACAUGUACUGGUAUCAACAGAAAAACAAAGGCGGUUCUUUGGAGCUCAUUGGAAUGCUCAGAUUUGGUGAACCUUCUUCAGAGGAUAAAUUCAAACCUCGAUUUGUCCUAUCAGGACAAGCUACAAAAGAUGCAUUCCUGCUGAUAUCCAAUAUAUCUGCCGAGGACAGCGCAGUGUAUUUCUGUGCAGCUAGUAUGCACAGCCAUUCAAUUCUCUAUAAACCCUGA